rnacentral:rRNA from 1 species
GCGGCCUAUCAGCUUGUUGGUGGGGUAACGGCCUACCAAGGCUUCGACGGGUAGCUGGUCUGAGAGGACGACCAGCCGGAUUGGGACUGAGAUACGGCCCAGACUCCUACGGGGGGCAGCAAUUAGGAAUCUUGCGCAAUGGGGGAAACCCUGACGCAGCGACGCCGCGUGAAGGAUUAAGUGCUUCGGCAUGUAAACUUCUUUUCUAAGGGAAGAAGAAUGUGACGGUACCUUAGGAAUAAGCCCCGGCUAACUACGUGCCAGCAGCCGCGGUAAUACGUAGGGGGCGAGCGUUGUCCGAAUUUACUGGGCGUAAAGAGCGCGUAGGCGGGUCUUUAAGUGAGAGGUGAAAGGUUCAGGGCUCAACCCGAACAGUGCCUUUCAUACUGGGGACCUUGAGUGUGGGAGAGGCGAGUGGAAUUUCUGGUGUAGCGGUGAAAUGCGUAGAUAUCAGAAGGAACACCCAUGGCGAAGGCAGCUCGCUGGCCUACAACUGACGCUGAGGCGCGAAAGCGUGGGGAGCAAACAGGAUUAGAUACCCUGGUAGUCCACGCCCUAAACGAUGACUGCUUGGUGUGACGGGUACCCAAUCCCGCCGUGCCGUAGCUAACGCGUUAAGCAGUCCGCCUGGGGAGUACGGUCGCAAGGCUGAA